rnacentral:rRNA from 1 species
AAAUGAAUAGACGGGGGCUCACACAAGCGGUGGAGCAUGUUGCUCAAUUCGAUGCAACGCGAAAAACCUUACCCGGGCUCGAAGCGCACGAAUUAAGCCUGUGAAAGCAGGUGUAACUCGCAAGAGUGGAGCGUGCGUAGGUGUUGCAUGGCUGUCGUCAGCUCGUGUCGUGAGAUGUCGGGUUAAGUCCUCUAACGAGCGAAACCCCUGUCUCUAGUUGCCAACGGGUCAUGCCGGGAACUCUAGAGAGACCGCCGGUGUUAAGCCGGAGGAAGGUGGGGACGACGUCAAGUCAUCAUGGCCCUUACGUCCGGGGCGGCAAACGUGCUACAAUGGUCGGUACAGCGCGACGCAAGCCCGCGAGGGGGAGCAAAUCGCUUAAAACCGGCCUCAGUUCAGAUUGGGAGGCUGCAACCCGCCCCCAUGAAGCUGGAAUCGCUAGUAAUCGGGGAUCAGCUAUGCCCCGGUGAAUAUGUUCCUGAGCCUUGUACACACCGCCCGU